rnacentral:tRNA from 3 species
UCCUCGGUAGCUCAGUGGUAGAGCGAUCGACUGUUAAUCGAUUGGUCGCAAGUUCGAGCCUUGCCCGGGGAG